CGCAGUGUUAUUGGAUUGGUUAUACCACACGUGUAAAUAGGCAAUCAACACUAUACGCGGUAGAAAGACAUGGAAAAGAGGAACGGCGAGAGAUGCAUGUAUGGACCCCGGAGUUGAAUGCGACAGCUACUGUUAAUUACAUGCAAUUAACCAAGGAAAUCACCAUGGCUUGAUCUGAACUGCUAUUAGUUGGGAUUGUCCAGCGUCUGUCUGACUGUCUCAUUUGACUAAUUCAUCAGAGUGAGCCUGAGCCGGGGGCAGGAGAGAGUCAGGCUGAUACAGAGAUGUAAGAGAGGACGCUGAGGGAUAAUGAGUCCCUACCAGGCGAAUGACGGGUGGAGGAGAACAGAACCCUGGAGAGAAGCACGCUCCACAAAGUUUUUCUCCAAUUACACUUGGAUGGGAGGCUCCCUCCUUCCUACGACUCCCCAUGGUAAUCACCGAGGAAGGGCCAACUGGCCCCACUGUGCCCCUACUGUUGCAGAGUGGAGGCCUCGUGUGUUCACCGUCUGUUACAGGGGAGUUCGGGCGGAGUCCAGGAAAUCAGACUGCGGAGGAGUUAGUCAUGAAACUAUCACGGUGGUAAACACGGAAUUAAUAGCACUUAUUGAUAUCCUUAUGUCGGGCUUGAGGCAGAAAGCAAAUUGCGUAAAAAAGGCCUGUUUGAAACUACCUAUAAAUCUGGUGGUAUCUGCUGCAUUUGCAACGUU